rnacentral:rRNA from 1 species
UACGUAGGGUGCAAGCGUUAUCCGGAAUUACUGGGCGUAAAGGGCUCGUAGGCGGCCAACUAAGUCGGACGUGAAAUCCCUCGGCUUAACCGGGGAACUGCGUCCGAUACUGGAUGGCUUGAGUUUGGGAGAGGGAUGCGGAAUUCCAGGUGUAGCGGUGAAAUGCGUAGAUAUCUGGAGGAACACCGGUGGCGAAGGCGGCAUCCUGGACCAACACUGACGCUGAUGAGCGAAAGCCAGGGGAGCAAACGGG